GUAAGCAACCUGCCUUUAAGACGAGGAUAACAAUUGGGAAACAGUUGCUAAGACUGGAUAGGAAAUAAAAAGGCAUCUUUUUAUUUUUAAAAGACCUUUUUCGGAAGGUAUGCUUAAAGAGGGGCUUGCGUCACAUUAGUUAGUUGGCAGGGUAAAAGCCUACCAAGACUAUGAUGUGUAGCUGGACUGAGAGGUUGAACAGCCACAUUGGGACUGAGACACGGCCCAAACUCCUACGGGAGGCAGCAGUAGGGAAUUUUCGGCAAUGGAGGAAACUCUGACCGAGCAACGCCGCGUGAACGAUGAAGUAUUUCGGUAUGUAAAGUUCUUUUAUUGAAGAAGAAAAAAUAGUGGAAAAACUAUCUUGACGAUAUUCAAUGAAUAAGCCCCGGCAAACUAUGUGCCAGCAGCCGCGGUAAUACAUAGGGGGCGAGCGUUAUCCGGAAUUAUUGGGCGUAAAGGGUGCGUAGGCGGUUUAAUAAGUCUAUAGUUUAAUUUCAGUGCUUAACACUGUCCUGCUAUAGAAACUAUUAGACUAGAGUGAGAUAGAGGCAAGUGGAAUUCCAUGUGUAGCGGUAAAAUGCGUAAAUAUAUGGAGGAACACCAGAGGCGUAGGCGGCUUGCUGGGUCUUUACUGACGCUGAGGCACGAAAGCGUGGGGAGCAAACAGGAUUAGAUACCCUGGUAGUCCACGCCGUAAACGAUGAGUACUAAGUGUCGGGAUUACUCGGUACUGAAGUUAACACAUUAAGUACUCCGCCUGAGUAGUACGUACGCAAGUAUGAAACUUAAAGGAAUUGACGGGACUCCGCACAAGCGGUGGAUCAUGUUGUUUAAUUCGAAGAUACACGAAAAACCUUACCAGGUCUUGACAUACUCUGCAAAGCUAUAGCAAUAUAGUGGAGGUUAUCAGGGAUACAGGUGGUGCAUGGUUGUCGUCAGCUCGUGUCGUGAGAUGUUAGGUUAAGUCCUAAAACGAGCGCAACCCUUGUCAUUAGUUGCCAGCAUGUCAUGAUGGGCACUUUAAUGAGACUGCCAAUGAAAAAUUGGAGGAAGGUGAGGAUCACGUCAAAUCAUCAUGCCCCUUAUGAUCUGGGCUACAAACGUGAUACAAUGGCUGUUACAAAGAGUAGCUGAAACGUAAGUUUAUAGCCAAUCUCAUAAAAGCAGUCUCAGUUCGGAUUGAAGUCUGCAACUCGACUUCAUGAAGUUGGAAUCGCUAGUAAUCGCGAAUCAGCAUGUCGCGGUGAAUACGUUCUCGGGGUUUGUACACACCGCCCGUCAAACCACGAAAGUUGGUAAUACUCAAAAACGGUAGCCUAA
rnacentral:rRNA from 1 species